UACGUGGGGUGCAAGCGUUGUUCGGAAUUACUGGGCGUAAAGCGCGUGUAGGCGGCUCGCUAAGUCUGAUGUGAAAUCCCUGAGCUUAACUCAGGAACUGCAUCGGAAACUAGCGGGCUAGAGUUCGGGAGAGGGCGGUGGAACUGCGAGUGUAGAGGUGAAAUUCGUAGAUAUUCGCAAGAACACCAGUGGCGAAGGCGGCUCACUGGCCCGGUACUGACGCUGAGGUGCGAAAGCGUGGGGAGCAAACAGG
rnacentral:rRNA from 1 species